UACGUAGGGUGCGAGCGUUAAUCGGAAUUCCUGGGCGUAAAGCGUGCGCAGGCGGUUCGUUGUGUCUGAUGUGAAAGCCCCGGGCUUAACCUGGGAAUGGCAUUGGAAACUGGCGAGCUGGAGUGUGGCAGAGGGGGGUGGAAUUCCGCGUGUAGCAGUGAAAUGCGUAGAGAUGCGGAGGAACACCGAUGGCGAAGGCAGCCCCCUGGGCCAACACUGACGCUCAGGCACGAAAGCGUGGGGAGCAAACGGG
rnacentral:rRNA from 1 species